rnacentral:rRNA from 1 species
AGAACGAACGCUGGCGGCAUGCCUAACACAUGCAAGUCGAACGCCUGUAGCAAUACAGGAGUGGCGCACGGGUGAGUAACGCGUGGGAACCUGCCCUGGAGUGGGGGAUAACCGAGGGAAACUUCGGCUAAUACCGCAUACGUCCUUAGGGAGAAAGAUUUAUCGCUCUAGGAGGGGCCCGCGUCGGAUUAGCUAGUUGGUGAGGUAACGGCUCACCAAGGCGACGAUCCGUAGCUGGUCUGAGAGGAUGAUCAGCCACACUGGGACUGAGACACGGCCCAGACUCCUACGGGAGGCAGCAGUGGGAAUAUUGGACAAUGGGGGCAACCCUGAUCCAGCAAUGCCGCGUGAGUGAUGAAGGCCUUCGGGUUGUAAAGCUCUUUUGCCAGGGACGAUGAUGACGGUACCUGGAGAAUAACGCCCGGCUAACUUCGUGCCAGCAGCCGC